AUCGGUGGAUUUCGCCGGCUGUCGGGAGGGAACCAAGGGCAUCGGCGUUGGAUCAGGCCAGCAUCGAUUGUUUGGAGGAGGUGGUUCUUUCUGGGAAGCAGAGACUGGUAUUUUGGUCCCGGCCACCACAACUCUGUUGGAUCGAUCUCUUCUUCGUAUCAGUGAUCGUCUCCGGUGAUUGAAGGGUGCAGAGAGGAUGCGAUGUGCUUAUUUUAGAUACUGGAUUGGGAAGUGCAGAGAAUCAAGCAAGGGUCAAGGAGUUGCUUCAUGUGGAGGAAUCAAAACUAGAGGAGGAUGAGGGAAAUACCACUCCAGCAGUGAGAUGGGUUCGAGAUGAUAAAUAUGAUUGCAUCCGAUUAAAGCAUUGCAAGGUUGUGACAAAAAUUGAUUGGCAUCGGAAAGGAGACUAUUUCACUACUGUCGUUCCUAGUGAUAUCCUAAUUAUGAAUUUUAGUUGUACUUAUUUUUAGUCAUUCCUAGUGCCUAUUUUAUAUCUCAGUUUUGUUUCUUUCUUUUUUCUAAUACACACUGACAAAUUGGAAAUAUAUAAAAAUCAUGACAUUAUACCUAGUUACCUAGCCUUUGAGGCUGGAAUCAGGAUGAAACCUAAAGUGCCCUGAAAAGUUUAGGCAUACCAAAUUCUCUCAGUUUAAUGACAGAGGUCAGUUGUGUUGCAAACUUUGUUAUUUUCCUUGUUUUUCAUUUACCGCGUCUAGAUUAAGAAACUAUGGCUUUCUAACUCAAAUAAAAAUUGCAAUUCCUGCCUAUCUUAGACCUAACAUUAACUUAUUAA